GGUUUUGUUCUCUGAUCUCAUUCGCUCCAUAAAUGUUGUUCUCCUUUCAAACUCAAACUUUAGCCAUUGAUGAUAGGGAUUGAAGUGGGUUAAGAGAUGGAGAAUGGUGGUGGUUGUGUUCUUAUUAGAUAAAGAUGUAAUUGAGUGUAGGUACUUCUUUUGGAUUAUUACCUUGUAGCUAGUACAAUGAAGUUCUCUUUACCCAGCAGCUAGUGGCUCGAAUAUUUGGUUGGCUUGUAAAGUAGAUUCAUUGAAUCACUCAUUCCUUUGAAACGAAACUGAAAUGAUUUAUCUACAGAUCGAAUAUUAUUCUUUUGUGCAAGGGGAUUUGUUAUUCUGUCAGAGAGGCC